rnacentral:rRNA from 1 species
GGUACCACUCCGAUCCCAUCCCGAACUCGGCUGUGAAACGCUUCUGCGGCAAAGAUACUUGGGGGUCUCCCCCCGGGAAAAUAGCUCAGUGCCAGGU